AGAGUUUGAUCCUGGCUCAGGACGAACGCUGGCGGCGUGCCUAAUACAUGCAAGUAGAACGCUGAAGAGAGGAGCUUGCUCUUCUUGGAUGAGUUGCGAACGGGUGAGUAACGCGUAGGUAACCUGCCUUGUAGCGGGGGAUAACUAUUGGAAACGAUAGCUAAUACCGCAUAACAAUGGAUGACACAUGUCAUUUAUUUGAAAGGGGCAAUUGCUCCACUACAAGAUGGACCUGCGUUGUAUUAGCUAGUAGGUGAGGUAACGGCUCACCUAGGCGACGAUACAUAGCCGACCUGAGAGGGUGAUCGGCCACACUGGGACUGAGACACGGCCCAGACUCCUACGGGAGGCAGCAGUAGGGAAUCUUCGGCAAUGGGGGCAACCCUGACCGAGCAACGCCGCGUGAGUGAAGAAGGUUUUCGGAUCGUAAAGCUCUGUUGUAAGUCAAGAACGAGUGUGAGAGUGGAAAGUUCACACUGUGACGGUAGCUUACCAGAAAGGGACGGCUAACUACGUGCCAGCAGCCGCGGUAAUACGUAGGUCCCGAGCGUUGUCCGGAUUUAUUGGGCGUAAAGCGAGCGCAGGCGGUUUGAUAAGUCUGAAGUUAAAGGCUGUGGCUCAACCAUAGUUCGCUUUGGAAACUGUCAAACUUGAGUGCAGAAGGGGAGAGUGGAAUUCCAUGUGUAGCGGUGAAAUGCGUAGAUAUAUGGAGGAACACCGGUGGCGAAAGCGGCUCUCUGGUCUGUAACUGACGCUGAGGCUCGAAAGCGUGGGGAGCGAACAGGAUUAGAUACCCUGGUAGUCCACGCCGUAAACGAUGAGUGCUAGGUGUUGGAUCCUUUCCGGGAUUCAGUGCCGCAGCUAACGCAUUAAGCACUCCGCCUGGGGAGUACGACCGCAAGGUUGAAACUCAAAGGAAUUGACGGGGGCCCGCA
rnacentral:rRNA from 1 species